rnacentral:rRNA from 1 species
UACAGAGGUCUCGAGCGUUGUUCGGAUUCAUUGGGCGUAAAGGGUGCGUAGGCGGCGAGGUAAGUCGGAUGUGAAAUCCCGGGGCUCAACCCCGGAACUGCAUUCGAUACUGCCUUGCUCGAGUACUGGAGAGGAGACUGGAAUUUACGGUGUAGCAGUGAAAUGCGUAGAUAUCGUAAGGAAGACCAGUGGCGAAGGCGAGUCUCUGGACAGUUACUGACGCUGAGGCACGAAGGCCAGGGGAGCAAACGGG